AAGGAUCAUUAACAAAUCAGUUAUAUGGCGAAAGCCAUAUAUAUUCACCCCGAGCCUGGGAUUGUACAAUUGUACAGGACCGGCUUUGGUUGGGCCACAUCCCUUGUGGGUGUGGCUCCGGCAAGUACGCUUCGGCGCACUGGCCACAUAGACGCUUGUAUUGUUUGACAGAGUUAUAAUUGCUUAAAAAAAUGACAACUUUUAACAAUGGAUCUCUUGGCUCUU
rnacentral:misc_RNA from 1 species